GCAGGAACAGUGGGCUGGAGGAAAGUUGUCAAUACCUGUAAAGAAGAGAAUGGCUCUACUGGUGCAAGAGCUUUCAAGCCACCGGUGGGACGCAGCAGAUGACAUCCACCGCUCCCUCAUGGUUGACCAUGUGACUGAGGAACUAAGUUUUAAUGGCAAACCUACAGCUUACUUAAGAUAUCCCUCCAGAGAGAGAGCAAGGCAAUUGUACCUGACACAGCAUUGACACCAAAUGACCAGAUUCCACUGUGUCCAACGGGAGCGACAAAACUGGUCCCCGCCGGGGCUUGUGCAACAGACCCUCCUUGCCGAAUUCGGGCCAGUCUCUCUGUUCCAAUUGGGGGAGGUAUCUUUCGAUCUUGACUGGCACUGACUCCUUUUGGUUGGCCCAACGUUGGUGGGGCAGAAGUGGCUGAAAGAGGUGAAGAUGAUCCCGAAGAAACAGAUGGAAUAGGAGAGUC
rnacentral:lncRNA from 1 species